rnacentral:lncRNA from 1 species
AUAAAUCUUUUAAGCACUUGAGUUUUUGAACUUUUACCACUAUUGUUGUAAGUCGGAAUUUAUUCAAGCUUUAUACGGAAGUUGAUUUGUAUGUUCGUUCUCGUCGUCCUAAAUAUUGACAUCGUACCUAAUGUUUUGAUACUAAUACACAGUUUUAUUUCACGUCUCACUCAAGCUUUUUCAAAUGAACCAAAGUUACAACCUGUGUUUAAUUACGCGUCACGUAGCUAUAAUAUGUAAUGGCAUUGGUGGAUUUUAUACAAACUGUAUUCAGAAGAUGUUUCGUUGGUUCGCUCUAGUCGUUCUAUUAACCGACAUUUUUUGUAAGGUAUUGAUAAUACAAGAAACAAAAAAUAUGAUUUUACGUCUCACUUAAGCUUUAACAAAUUACCCAAAGCUACAACAUUUGCUUUAAUUCAGCACAACGUAGUGGUAGAUAUAUAGUGUGAAAUGGCAUUGGUGGAUUUAUUCCAACUUUAUUUUGAAAGAGUGUUGUCUGUUCGUUUCUCAUCGUCCUAUAUAAAUUGGCGUUUUAUCGAAUGUAUUGAUACUAAAUAACAGCUUUAUUACCUGUCUCACUCAAGCUUUAACAAAUGACUUGAAGUUACAACCUGACCGGAAUUAUGCGUCACAUACAUGUACAUGUAGAUGAGUGUGUAAUGACAUUGGUAGAUUUUAAACAUGUACAAACUUUAUCCAGAGGACGUUUCGUUUGUUCGUUCUCAUCAUCAAGCUUUAACCAAUAACUGAAUGUUAAACCUGGCUUUAAUUCAGUGCAACUUAGUGGGAAUGUAAUGGUAUUGGUGGAGGCACAGUGGACAAGUUGCAAAAUAAUGCAGCCUACAUUAUACAGUUUAAACCAUCAGUGAUAAAUUUGAAAAUGAAAGUAAUGGCCUGUGCGAUGCAAUCUUAAAACCACAUACAUGCAUAAGCAUGUAGAUUUGAUGUGAGAUUUAUAAAAUAAAUUAUAAUUUUGUAAAUUUUGUUUGUGUGAAAACUAUUUUCAUGAACAACCCCUGAUUCAGUACAGAUUGAGAAGUCAGAGAGAAAAGAAUAAUUGAUUACAAUGUAUUACCUAUUUUUAUCAAUAUAGCAAUGAUAUACAUGUACAUUUAUCUUGGGCACAUUUAAGACCAAAGAUCAGUUUGCUGCAGAUGGGAUACAUUUAUCAGCAUUAACAUGAAUUAUUAAAUAUUUUUGAAGUCUUUGCCUUGAUAAAGUACUAGUGUAUGUUCUAGAUUUUAUGAUGAAGUGUAAUUAUUUUAUUUCAAAAAUAUUCAAGUUGAGGUCAGUUUGCUAACUGGUGCAUGACAGAAUGACCAACCUUACAGAAAAAUAAUACUGUAGGCAAAUUUGUCCUAUGCAGGUACAUUUUUGUAUAUCAUCAUGCACUUAUAAUAAAAAUAGAUAAACAUUUGCCCUGGCAAUAGACACAAGUGCAAGUGAUAUAUAUACAUAUGCCACAACAAAUGUAAUGUGUCAGCAAAAAUAGAGAAAGACACAAAUAUACUCUUUACAUGAAUAGAUUUUAAACAUAAG